rnacentral:lncRNA from 1 species
CACCGAAUCAUUCAGACACCAUUUCACGGAGAUGGAAGCCCCAGGGAAUGGCAAAGCAGAGUUGGGUCAUAUACUUAUUGCGCCUGCUGCCACCAUCCUUCACUAGCAUCAGAGCCUGGCCAUGUUGACUUUCCAACAUGAACUGAAGACCCGUGGCUCUCCAGGAGUCAGACAGGCCCUUGGUGCCAGGUUUGGACUGCUGUGGCACCCAGCUUAGUGGAAUGAGAGCAUCUAUUGAUUCUUGUCCCCUCCAAUGAGAAGAUAGCCAUUGUUGCCUCAUGUCUUGCAUGAAAAUGUCCUUAUGCAGCACAGUGCCAUGUGUAAUGAAUAAAUACAAUGAAAAAAUUUUAAAAAAUGACGAAGAAUUUCAAGGUGGUAGCCACAGAACAUCAACCCCUAAAUAUGGGGUCCUACCUGACUGCAUUUUUACAUAUCUAUGAAGCCCUGCCUUAUCAUGGCACAGAGACAUGUGGCCUUCAGCUCUCCUUUCCAACUUCAUUUCCUUAUCGGCAGCUGGUGGGUUCUGGCUGCAUCAGAGCCAGUCUGAGUCCCUUUGGUGAGCAGAGCUGACUGAGGGCUCAGAGGUCUGGCAGGAUCUCCAGGUCACAGACACUCCCAUUCCCAUUUCUCCAUUUCCUUUGACGAAGAAUGACCAACAGCUCAAAGGACAUUUCAGUUGGUGGGUCAGUCUCGAAGGACCACUGUUUAGAGUACAUUGGGUACCUCAAAAGUGAUGGUGAUCUCCUCCUCACCUUUCUUUGCCUUCAGGAAAGUGGUUCUGCACUGCAGGGUGAGGCUCCAAGAAGUCACAGCCAUGGCAGAUGCUCCAUGACAUUUGAACAGUACCUCAGAUUGUCUAUGAGGAAAUACCCAGGUCUUCACAGUUUCUCAGGUCGCAAACCAUCACCACACACAGCUCAAGCCAUGCAGCUCAAGCCACACAGCUGUGAUGCCACCCUUCCUGAGACACUAUGAGUAUCCCCUUUGUUGGGUGAAGAAAAAAUGACCCAGAGAAGUGAGAGGGCCUUCUUGGUGAAACACAGUUAGACCUUCGCACAUGUGCAGUGGUGUGAUUGUGUGUGUGUGAUGCCCAUAGACACAAACAAACACAUCAAUGAAUAUAUGAAUAAAUAAGUCCAUUAGUUAAUGAGUGAAUUAAAAGCUGGAUAUGACAAGGUAAACAUACAAUCCCAAAGCUUAGGAAGCAGAAGUAGGAGCCAUCAUGUUUGAUGGCUCUAUAGUCAAGCUGAAUCUGCAAUUCGUGUCUCAAAAAAAAAAAACAAAAAACAAAAACCGAAAAACCAACAACAACAACAACAGGGAAGAUGGGAUGCACUGAACAUGAUCAAAGUACACUAUGUGCAUGCAUGACAUGGUCAAAGAAUAAAUAAAAAACAUUAAAAAAACAAAACCAAGUUGGAUGGCACACACGGUUGACUUUUUUGCCUCCACAGGCACUCACACACACAGCCACAGACACGCAGACAUGAAUCUUAAGUGUGUUCUCAGUACAGUGGCUUGACCAUCUCCAUUAUUCAUAAAAGCUGUCAAUACCCAGAAACCCUCACCUUCCUGUUGUGAUGCCUGAACAGAAUCAGAAAACUGGGGCCAGAUGCCCUGCUCAUCACUGCCAGUGCCCGUCCACAUCUAGCUGUCAGUCCCUUCUGUGUUCUAUCUGGGUCCCCAGUCUGUCCCAAUGACAGUACCACACCUCUUCAGGUGACCAUAAGCAUAGGAAUGUGGAACAACAGGGUCUUAGGCCCAGCGAAUUCAGUAGCCAACAGCAGAGACUAUCCCUACAGCUGUGAGAUGUGCUUCAGGCAUGGAGCUUCCAACCCAGUCUUUCCGGGCAGAAGGCUGUUCCCAUGUUUCCUGUGACAGAUGCGACCCUAUCUUUGAUCCCUCUUUCCAAAAAAAGUUUCAUGCUCCUUUCUUCAAGCCCUUUGUUCCCAGCAUAGCUCCGUGAGGAAUCUGAAGAAAGGCUGUGGGAAGCUAUGUGGAUAUAAUCCCUGGUUGGGGAAGCAGCUGCCCCUCCAGCUGGGUCCAGGUGGUGAGGAUACAAGAUGUGGCGGGUUGGGCUAGGCUCCACAAAGCCAGGCUCUGUGGGCCGCCAUCAUUAUCAUUGCAGACAGCCUUCGGAACAACGGAAACCUCCACGCCCUCAACUCCCCAGAAGAGGGAGAGCAGGAUGGGUGCACCACCUCCCUUCUCAGGAUGUUUUUAAUAAUGCAGACCAGCCCACACAGGGAAGCAAGACCUUGGGAAGCACACAGCCCUCCCCUGCAGGGCUAUGGUGCAGGGCUAUUCUUCCAGCCGGGUUCCCUAGUUUGUAUGAAUUACAGAGAUCCUCAUUGCUGCGUGUAUAACAGACUUCUGUGUGAUGGUCUGGGUGUGAUGUGUAGUUGAUACUGGGAGGAGUGUGUCUUUCUUGGCUGUAUCUCUGGUGUUGUUUUUGUUCUUGGAUGGACUCUUUGUUCUAUGACAGAGAGUACCUACAGACGCUCCAAGAUAACAGAUCUGGCAGGAGACACUUCCUGGUGCAAUCUAGAUUGCUUCUCAUAGCACUGUAGUCCACGAUCCGAUGGUACAUAUGAUGGCAACAAGGAGUCUCAACUCAGGUGACCCUGUUUUCUGGCACUAUUGUCUCCCUAUCACCCAAGCAAGGGGUUCUUGCUCCCUUCUGGUAUCCACUGCAUAUCUGUGCUCACGUGAGCACUGGGUGAGGGUGAGCUAGCAUGCAUGUCAUGUGUGAUAGGUCACCUAUGAGAUGCCGCACACACAUGAGGUGAUAAACCGGUUAGCAGAUAUAAAAUAGGAGAGCCAGGACUACACAGAGAAACUCUGUCCUGAAAAUCCAAACCAAACCAAACCAAAAAAGGCAGAGGUAGAUGGAGGACACCAGGGAAUCAAAGUCUUCUAAAUACAACAGGACUGGAGCACAUAUGAACUCAGAGAGUGUGGCAGCAUGCACCGGGCCUACAUGGGUCUGGACCAGAAGUGGUCCUAGAGCUGAAAGGAGAAGUGGACUCAAGUCCCCAUCCCUAACUCAGAAGCUAUCUCCAAUUGAUAGCCAUUUGCAAGUAAAUAAUUAGUUUUUUUCUCUAAGAAAAUCUCACUGGGAAAAUAAGCCACUCUUAAGGGUAGGCCCGAUGCCCAAAAGUAGAUAACCACCAGAAAACGAACUCCACAGCAUCAUUGGAGGUUCUUUGUCUCAUAUUAAGUCAGGGCAAUUCUUUUUCUACUGUACAGAUCCUUUGUAUAUAUAUCAUGGCUUCCAGUUUUGGAUUUUUAUAGGAUUCUUGAGUGUGAAUAUGUGUGUCCCUAUAUCUAUAUGUGUUUCUUUUAUUUCUUGGGCUUUUUCUUGUUUGGUUGUUUCAUCCUAUUCCAAUUUGUUUGUUUUUGAUGUAUCUUAGUUUAUUAUUAUUCCUUAGGUGCCUGUUUGCUUUCUAAUGAGAGACAGAAGGGGCAUGGAUCUAGAUGGGAGGUGAGGUGGGGAGGAACUGGAAGAGCAAGGGGAUGGGAAACUGUGGUGGUUUGAGAGAAAAUAGCCCCCAAAGGGAAUGGAACUAUUAGGAGGUGUAGUCUUGUGGGAGGCGGGCUUUGAGGUCUCAUAUAUGCUCAAGCUACACCCAUUGAGUCAGACCACUUCCUGUUGCCUGCAGAUCAAGAUGUAUUAACUCUCAUCUCCUUCUCCAGCACAUGUUUGCCUGCGUGUCCCGCCAUGAUGAUAAUGGGAUGAACCUCUGAAAUGGUCAGCCACACAAUUAAAUGUUUUCCUUUAUAAAAGUUGCUGUGGUCAUGGUGUUUCUUCACAGCAAUAGAUAGCCUAACUAGAUGAAACCAUAAUCAGAAUCUAUUGUAUGAAAAAAAUCUAUUGUCAAUAAUAAUAAUUUAAAAAGACACACUCAGGGCAUUAGUGAGACACACCUUUAUGUGUGUGUGUUUGUGUGUGUGUUUGUGUGUGUGUGUGUGUGUGUGUAUGCUUGCAAAGAUUAGCUGAAUGGAAAAGAUAUUCCUGAACCUGAGUGGCACUAUUCCAUGGGCUGAGGUGUCAGACUGACUAGAGAAGAGAAAAAAGAAAGUUAGCCAAGCAUCAAUGUUCUUCCUCUGAGGUGUAAGUGGUUAGCCUCUGACCUUUGUGCCUUCCUGCCGUGGGGAUGACAUUCUCAUCGUGAGACUCUCCUUACUUAAGUUUCCUAUCAGGUGUUCUGCCCCAGUGAUGAGAAAAGGAAAUAAUACAGAAGGACAGCAGCUUGAGAUCCUAUGGCCUUGGUGCAAGCAGACCGGAGUUCAAAUCCUACUACCAUCAUUUCUUAUUCAUAGCUAUGUCUACUUCUCUUUUUUUCUGUACUAUCAGAUGUGGAUGGACACUCAUGAGGACUGAUCAGAUGUGGAUGGACACUCAUGAGGACUGAUCAGAUGUGGAUGGACACUCAUGAGGACUGAUCAGAUGUGGAUGGACACUCAUGAGGACUGAUCAGAUGUGGAUGGACACUCAUGAGGACUGAUCAGAUGUGGAUGGACACUCAUGAGGAUGGAGUGAGAUUGGGAAGGAACUGGAGUUUUGUGGAUCAUGUCUCAGCUCCUCAGAAUGCAAGGCUGGCAAGGUGGCUCAGUGGGUAAAGGAUGAUCUCUGCCAAGACUGAAGACAGGAGUUCAAUACCUGGGUCUCACUUGAUGGAAACUGAAAUCCACCUCCAGCAAGUUGUCUUCUGCACCAACACACACAGAGAAACACUUACACAUGGUUCACCUGGCAUUUGGCUAAUGUCUGAAACCAAACCACACUCUGGACCAAUUAAGUCAUAGUGCCUAAGGGCCAGCAUGAUGCCAGCAUCUGCAUCCAUCAACUUCUCAGGUGAGCAUACUCGUAGUCUGGAUAAAGGGUGCUUUGGGGCUUGGCUCAGGUCUCUGUUUCCUGGCAGCCCUUCAUAAGGCAUCUUCUCCCUCCUUCAUGGGCCAGGCCUCUCCUGUGUUCCCAUGGUGCCCUCUGCACAGUGUACCUUCUAUCUGGUACUCUGUUAACAUGUUUUAUUUUCUUUUGUGUUUUUCACAGUGCUGGGAACACCCAAGAAACUCCUCCAGAAGUUAUCCUUUCUCUCAUUGCUUUUAUUUUUAUUUUAGCCCUAAAGUUCACCGAAGUUUGCCGAAGCAGAAUUUUGACAAAGGGAAAGUGUUGAGUGUCAGGUGGUGCAGUUGUGAAGCUGACACAAUGGGUCUGGGUGGGAAGUUGUGACUGGUUGAGCAAGGGUGGUGGUGCAAGAGCUCACAGGGAAGGGCCCGCUGAGGAUGAUCAUCAGAAGGUAAAAAUUGUUCUGCUGCUGUAACAUAACAGAUUUCUGUUGUCUCGGAGUUUUAGAGGCUCCAAGUUCAAGAUCAAGGUUUGUCAGUAGGGUGGUUUCCUCUGCGGAGCUCUGAGGAGGAACCUGGCUUGUUUGCUUCUAUUUGCUUCUGUAAGUUUGCUAGUGGUGCUUUGGUGUUUCCUGGUUUACAGCACAUAGCUUGUUUAUCUUAAUAUCUCCAUAUAUGUGUGUUUUAAUUCUCCCACCUGUGCUUUGUAUUUAGUAAGUCUAUGUAAAUGUGUGUGUGGCUGGGGUGGGGUGUGUGUGUGUGUGUGUAGGUAGGUACAUAUGUGUUUGAAGGCCAAAAAUCAAUGUUGGGUAUCUUUCUCCAUCUUGGCCAGACUUUUCUGAGACAAGGUUUCUCAUUGAACCUGUUACUUACCCAUUGGUCAGACUGGCUAGCCAGGGAGCCCCAGGCACCCUCCUGUGUCUGCCUUCUGAUGAUGAGAUGACAAGUACGUAUGUACUAUGCCAUGCCUGCCUGACUUACAUGGAUGCAGGGGACCUAUACUCAACCCCCCCCCCACACACACACACUUGCAUAAAAAAACACUUUACUCACUGAGCCAUCCACGACAGCCUCCAAUUCCCUCUUUUCAUAAUGACACACCAUGUGGGAUGGCCCCAUCUCUUAAGUGUGACUCUAGUCAUGGAUAACAGUCACAUCACAGUCAUUUGAAAUGGCUAUUUCUGGAGAGGGUUACAUUUGGAAGUACUGGAGCUUAGGGCUUCAGUAACUGGAAGGGACACAACUCCAUCCACAGUGUAAUGAAUUGUGUACUAUGCAAGCACCUUGCCUCGGGUACUUUGGUUUCAUCAUUUUAGGGGUAAGCCAGAAUUUUGCUAUGAGGGCAACACACUAGUUUUUAGGCUUUUGUCAAAAUCGUAACUCACGCAAAGGAACUCUGGGGAUGCUGACAAAACUGGAAAGGCGAGUGUCAUCAUCCAGUUGAAGGCCAGCAUGAGCUGAAGAAACACAAGAGAGGGAGAGGAAUGGGGUAGACACCAUUGUUCUCGUUUGUUCCUUCAGUGGUGGGUGCUUCUGCCUCUCUCAGCCGAUGCUUUUGCCGUCUCAGUGCUAAGUGAGCUUUCUUCGGGACCACUGAGAAGUGAGAAGCGGAGAGAUUAUAUGCAUAUGCCUAACAGAUCGAAGGUGCUCCUUCCUUCCUCUCCUUUCUUUCUGGCUUCCCUUAUUGUUCUUUUGUGAUUUUGUUCGUGGCAAUUAAAUGCAGUGCAGUUUUGGUAAUUAGCCGCUGUAAUUAGAAACACUUUUGGGUUAGGAGGGCAUUUCGUCUGCCUGGCUUUAGGAGCUGUCACUGGCUUUCUCUCAACAGUGCUUGCACUUGGUUGGUGUGUGUGUGUGUGUGUGUGUGUGUGUGUGUGUGUGUGUGUGUGUGUCUGUCUGUCUGUCUGUCUGUCUGUCUGAGGACUGGGCAGCUGUACACAAUUAAUGGCAGAGGAGGCUUUCCGCUAACAAUGACACCUUGCAUCCUGUACUCAGAGCUCUCUGUUGCAGCUGCAGGCAGAACUGAAAAGCAUGGCGAGCUACUCCUACAGUUAAUCAUUCCCAGAGCCCUCUCCAGCCCUUGGGUGCGUGCUGCCGUGCUAAAAUCCGGACAGUGUUACACAGAGAAGUCACUGGCUGAGAAUGCUAUCAUCUUCUCGAAGAUUGUCUUUUCUGCCGGCCUUUCCCUCCAGCAGGGGGCCAGGAGGACUUUUAGAAACUUCAAAACAACAACUUUUUACGUGGGACACCUGUAUUUGUUAGAACAAAGGUUGUAUUGGGGUAUAGUGGCACACAGUUUUAAUCCCAGCACUUGGGAGGCAGAGGCAGGCGGAUCUCUGUGAAUUCGAGGCCAGUCUGGUUCACAGAGUUGAGUUUCAGCACAGCUGAAGCUACAUAGUAAGAGCCUGUCUCAAAAACAACCCCGAAGAAGAAGAAGAA